rnacentral:rRNA from 1 species
UACGAAGGGGGCUAGCGUUGCUCAGAAUCACUGGGCGUAAAGCGCACGUAGGCGGCUUUCUAAGUCAGGGGUGAAAUCCUGGAGCUCAACUCCAGAACUGCCUUUGAUACUGGAGAGCUUGAGUCCGGAAGAGGUGAGUGGAACUCCGAGUGUAGAGGUGAAAUUCGUAGAUAUUCGGAAGAACACCAGUGGCGAAGGCGGCUCACUGGUCCGGUACUGACGCUGAUGUGCGAAAGCGUGGGGAGCAAACAGG